GUCGAACGAGAAAGCCCUUCGGGGUGAGUAGAGUGGCGAACGGGUGAGUAACACGUGGGCAACCUGCCCCUCGCAGGGGGAUAACCGGAGGAAACUCCGGCUAAUACCCCGUAAGCUUUCAGGGUCGCAUGGCCCUGAAAGGAAAGGUAGCUUCGGCUAUCCGGCGAGGGAUGGGCCCGCGGUGCAUUAGCUAGUUGGUGGGGUAAAGGCCCACCAAGGCGACGAUGCGUAGCUGGUCUGAGAGGAUGAUCAGCCACACUGGGACUGAGACACGGCCCAGACUCCUACGGGAGGCAGCAGCCAGGAAUCUUGGGCAAUGGGCGAAAGCCUGACCCAGCAACACCGUGUGGGCGAUGAAGGCCUUCGGGUCGUAAAGCCCUGUUGAUAGGGACGAAGGGCGAAGGGUUAAUAGCCCCUAGCCUGACGGUACCUUUCGAGGAAGCCCCGGCUAACUACGUGCCAGCAGCCGCGGUAAUACGUAGGGGGCGAGCGUUGUCCGGAAUUAUUGGGCGUAAAGAGCGUGUAGGCGGUUCGGUAAGUCUGCCGUGAAAACCUGAGGCUCAACCUCGGGCGUGCGGUGGAUACUGCCGGGCUAGAGGACGGUAGAGGCGAGUGGAAUUCCCGGUGUAGCGGUGAAAUGCGCAGAUAUCGGGAGGAACACCAGUAGCGAAGGCGGCUCGCUGGGCCGUUCCUGACGCUGAGACGCGAAAGCUAGGGGAGCGAACAGGAUUAGAUACCCUGGUAGUCCUAGCCGUAAACGAUGGACACUAGGUGU
rnacentral:rRNA from 1 species